rnacentral:rRNA from 1 species
UACAGAGGUCUCAAGCGUUGUUCGGAUUCAUUGGGCGUAAAGAGCUCGUAGGCGGUUCGUCGCGUCGGCUGUGAAAUCCCGAGGCUCAACCUCGGGUCUGCAGUCGAUACGGGCGGACUGGAGUACUGCAGGGGAGACUGGAAUUCCUGGUGUAGCGGUGAAAUGCGCAGAUAUCAGGAGGAACACCGGUGGCGAAGGCGGGUCUCUGGGCAGUUACUGACGCUGAGGAGCGAAAGCGUGGGGAGCGAACAGG